rnacentral:rRNA from 1 species
UGGGGAAUUUUGGACAAUGGGCGCACUNCUGAUCCAGCAAUGCCGCGUGCAGGAAGAAGGCCUUCGGGUUGUAAACUGCUUUUGUCAGGGAAGAAAUCUUCUGGGCUAAUACCCCGGGAGGAUGACGGUACCUGAAGAAUAAGCACCGGCUAACUACGUGCCAGCAGCCGCGGUAAUACGUAGGGUGCGAGCGUUAAUCGGAAUUACUGGGCGUAAAGCGUGCGCAGGCGGCUUUGCAAGACAGAUGUGAAAUCCCCGGGCUCAACCUGGGAACUGCACUUGUGACUGCAAGGCUAGAGUACGGCAGAGGGGGAUGGAAUUCCGCGUGUAGCAGUGAAAUGCGUAGAUAUGCGGAGGAACACCAAUGGCGAAGGCAAUCCCCUGGGCCUGUACUGACGCUCAUGCACGAAAGCGUGGGGAGCAAACAGGAUUAGAUACCCUGGUAGUCCACGCCCUAAACGAUGUCAACUGGUUGUUGGACGGCUUGCUGUUCAGUAACGAAGCUAACGCGUGAAGUUGACCGCCUGGGGAGUACGGCCGCAAGGUUG